rnacentral:rRNA from 1 species
AGUGGACGCUGGCGGUAGGCCUAACACAUGCAAGUCGAACGGCAGCACAGUAAGAGCUUGCUCUUACGGGUGGCGAGUGGCGGACGGGUGAGGAAUACAUCGGAAUCUACUUUUUCGUGGGGGAUAACGUAGGGAAACUUACGCUAAUACCGCAUACGACCUACGGGUGAAAGCAGGGGAUCUUCGGACCUUGCGCGAUUGAAUGAGCCGAUGUCGGAUUAGCUAGUUGGCGGGGUAAAGGCCCACCAAGGCGACGAUCCGUAGCUGGUCUGAGAGGAUGAUCAGCCACACUGGAACUGAGACACGGUCCAGACUCCUACGGGAGGCAGCAGUGGGGAAUAUUGGACAAUGGGCGCAAGCCUGAUCCAGCCAUACCGCGUGGGUGAAGAAGGCCUUCGGGUUGUAAAGCCCUUUUGUUGGGAAAGAAAAGCAGCAGGUUAAUACCCCGCUGUUCCGACGGUACCCAAAGAAUAAGCACCGGCUAACUUCGUG